AUUGAACGCUGGCGGCAGGCUUAACACAUGCAAGUCGAGCGCGCGGCGGACGGGUGAGUAAUGUCUGGGAAACUGCCUGAUGGAGGGGGAUAACUACGAGACACGGUAGCUAAUACCGCACACCAUCAGCUGUGCCCAGAUGGGAUUAGCUAGUAGGUGGGGUAAUGGCUCACCUAGGCGACGAUCACUAGCUGGUAUGAGAGGAUGACCAGCCACACUGGAACUGAGACACGGUCCAGACUCCUACGGGAGGCAGCAGUGGGGAAUAUUGUACAAUGGGCGCAAGCCUGAUGCAGCCAUGCCGCGUGUGUGAAGAAGGCCUUCGGGUUGUAAAGCACUGUCAGCGAGGAGGCGUUACUCGCAGAAGAAGCACCGGCUAACUCCGUGCCAGCAGCCGCGGUAAUUC
rnacentral:rRNA from 1 species